GUACCAACUUUCAGCGAACAUUCGUUUCAUAUUCCCUCAGUAGACUUCAUUUUUUGCAUCAUAAAUGUUGAAGUAACUACUUCAAGAAAAACUCUACAUCUUUAUUUAUGGACAUCCGUGACCUGCAGACUGCUAUUACGCAGAAAUAUUCUAAAUAAGGAGAGGUGCAUAUUAUCGUACCCUUGAAUAUACAUUAUGUUUUGGGUUGCAAGGUCUAGAAACAAAGGAACUAAUAAACAGAUUUCUAUUUAUGUUCUCUGUAGCCUUUAGCUAAAGCUAUAUGGUUAACUUUUUUGGUAAUGUCCUUUUGUUACAAAUAUAUAAACGAUCGAUUCCAUUGUCUAAUGUACCGGCAUAAAUCAAUCUUGAUACACCAGCCACGAGCGACAGUGAACCAACCGGAAGAAAGAAACAAAAAGAAAAGAAAAAAAAAGAACAAGGAACGAAGCACAGACGACGUUCCGUGGCUCGUUGCCUGUCCGUGUCAGGCUUCUCGAGAAGCCGCCACUCC
rnacentral:misc_RNA from 1 species